rnacentral:rRNA from 1 species
AGCGAACGCUGGCGGCAUGCCUAACACAUGCAAGUCGAGCGCUCCCAGCAAUGGGGGAGCGGCGGACGGGUGAGUAACGCGUAGGAACGUAUCCUGAGGUGGGGGAUAACCCUGGGAAACUAGGGCUAAUACCGCAUGAUGGCGAGAGCCCAAAGAUUUAUCGCCUUGGGAGCGGCCUGCGUCUGAUUAGCUUGUUGGUGGGGUAACGGCCUACCAAGGCGAUGAUCAGUAGCUGGUCUGAGAGGAUGAUCAGCCACACUGGGACUGAGACACGGCCCAGACUCCUACGGGAGGCAGCAGUGGGGAAUAUUGGACAAUGGGCGAAAGCCUGAUCCAGCAAUGCCGCGUGGAUGAAGAAGGUCUUCGGAUUGUAAAGUCCUUUUCGGCGGGGACGAUGAUGACGGUACCCGCAGAAGAAGCCCCGGCUAACUUCGUG